rnacentral:rRNA from 1 species
UUUAUGGAGAGUUUGAUCCUGGCUCAGGAUAAACGCUGGCGGCGUGCCUAAUACAUGCAAGUUGAGCGAACGGACGAGAAGCUUGCUUCUCUGAUGUUAGCGGCGGACGGGUGAGUAACACGUGGAUAACCUACCUAUAAGACUGGGAUAACUUCGGGAAACCGGAGCUAAUACCGGAUAAUAUUUUGAACCGCAUGGUUCAAAAGUGAAAGACGGUCUUGCUGUCACUUAUAGAUGGAUCCGCGCUGCAUUAGCUAGUUGGUAAGGUAA